ensembl:lncRNA
AUGGCUGUAAAAACCUGUUCUGAGACGCAUAAUGUCUUGGCCAUAGAGCCAAUGUCUCUUUUUAAUAAAUAUUUAUAUUUGAAUCCAAGGAUUCUUAAAGAGAGGUCUGAAUUUCUUCUCUUCUUUUUUUUUUUUUUUUUUUUUUUUCAUUGCAUUGGUUGCCUUAAUGAAAAUGCUCAUUAUAAUAAAUAUUGUAAUUAUAAUAAAUUCACAGCGAAUGUGGAUUUAAAAUGUGUGAUUUCAAACCAAUUUUCCUAUAUCAUGGUUCUUUUAAAGCAGAAUAUUAUUAUUGCUAUGAACAUGGUCAUUUCUGUAGUGCUGAAACAAUGUCAUAUUUUUAGGUAAAACACUGGAAUCUAAUUUUGCCUGAUUAGAGGCUCUAGAGAUUUACUUCUUUUGUUUAUUUACUUACACUGAGACAACAGUUUUCCUUGUUAAAGAACAUAACCUGGUUGUACAAAAGUGCUUUAGAUCUCAUGUCUAUCUUGGUAGAGUCUAAACUACACUUCAGACUUUGCAAAUCAAGGUGUUUUACCUCAAAUACUUGAGUUUUGUAUCUGGUCCUGAUACUUAUUAAUGUGGACCUGUAGAGACUUUGCCUUCAGGCAAGGAAGCAAGGCAGGAAAAGGGAAAGGUGAGGUGGAUAAGGGAAGUGGAAUCCAGGCUUUGUCUUCUUCUGAAGAGCCAUCACCUUCUUCUUUGUGUCCAUAAUCCUUGGAAACACAUCAAGUCUUGUAUUGACUUCUGCCAUAUCUAAAAACUCCUCUUGAUUGUAUUAGGUACAAGUGUUGCAUGUGUAUUUUACUCCUUUAUUAUGAUGUUGUCUAUGUUUGAAGAAUGUUUUUUAUUCUACAGUAGUUUGAAACAGCUAACUCUUGAACUUCACUUGCAGAUGAUCAGAUAGAGGUUGAAAGUUUUCAUCUGUUUUGAUUGUUUGAGUUUUUCUAAGUAACAAGUCCUUUAAAAAAAUCUAGAAUCGUACACAUUCUACCCUGAAGCUGUAAUGCUGAUUAAUAGUUUCCUGCAAAAUUAGUCCUGUGAAUUUGGUCUUUAUGCUAUUUUGUAUAGUGAAAGACUAGUAAAAGGUCAUCACUGGUGGUAUUGGACUGGUUUCAGUGUUUGUUUUGAGAGACUGAGGUGAAAUGUGUUUUUCAUGAUGAUGUAGCUUAGUUGAAAGCAUCCUGAUUCUAGCUUAGGACAAUUUUUUUUUACCAUACUCAGGCCUACUGAGAUAGAAAAAAAGCAGGUCCUUUUUUUCCUGAAGUAAGAAGCAAGUGAGAAUGGUAUAUUGUUUAUAACAUGGUGUAGACAGGGGGAUUAUUUAGUUCUCCUUACAAAGCUGAGA